ensembl:lncRNA
AACUGAUACACCAGCUUAAGUGCAUUUGUAGCAAGGAGAUAUCUGUCAGCUCUGGUCACCAGGCUGGUGACCCUCCUGUCACCCAGGAAGCGCUCCUCUGCCCUUAACCUCAGUCCUCCCCAGGGAGGUGCCAGAGGAGGUCUGACAGCAGCCUUCACCUUUUGUAACCAAGCAAGCUGGCCUCACAAGGCACAGUGGUCUCCGUUACGGCUAGGUUCCUGAGAGUUCCAGGCUUCCUCGACAUGAGCAAGCUGGGCCACAGGGAGAUGCUGCUUUGCUGCUGAGUUACUGGCGUGGUUCUUCUCUCCUCCCUGGACCCCGACGGACCCAGAGCCCACUGCAGUUAUACACGGUAGAGAUGAGGACUCUCCAAGCAGAGCAGUGGGAGUGGGGUGGAGAAGAGCUGACAGACAGAAGCUAUUUGAAAGGUCUUGAUUACUGUUUGGGAGGACGGAGGGGGCCAGGACAGCUCCCGGGUCCCGCCUGGUGGAUUGUGGCGCCCCUUCACAAAAUGCAGGCUCUCUAGGAGGAGGGGUGGCGGGCUGGUGGUGGAGGUGAUCUAUUUGCUUUUGCAUUUGGUGAGGUUCCCACUGAGACACUGAGGGGCAGACAUCCCGUAAGCCAUUGGCUACCGGGUCUUGAGCUGAGGAGAGGGGUCUGCAUAGAGAUGCGGCUUUGGGCACGAUCAGCAUCUAGGUGGCAGCAGAAGCCACGGGCCUGGAUGCGUCUACCCAAGGAGACAAGCAGCACGAGAAGAAGACUCAGAAGGGACAGGCGGUGUGGUGGGAGGAGAGCUGGGAGGGUGAGAAGUUACAGAAAGUGAGGGACAAGGGAGGACCAAGAAGGUGGGUCAAGUGGAGCAGAGAAGCCAAGGAGGUGUAUUAAUCUGGUCUUUUUUUUUUUCUGGAUUCUGAUGCUUUGACACCUGGGGCCUUGCUGAUGCUGCAUGGACUGCCCCUGCCAGGACCCGCCAGUUCCAAAGACAGACCCUUGUGAUGACGCUGGGCCAGCAGAAUGAUCCAGAAUAAUCUCCCCGUCUCAAGAUCCUUAACUUCACCACAUCUGCAAUGUCCCUGUUGCCAGACGCUCCAGGGCACCGUACAGUGUGGUUGAAAGCGUGACCUGGCUGAAGUCAAACCCCGGCUCUGACAUUUACCAGGUGUGCAAAGUAUUGAGCAAAGCAUUUCUCUGUCCCUCAGUUUCUUCUUCCGUAUAGCGGGUUAAUAAGAGUACCCGUCCCCUAGGCUUGCUGUGAAGACGAAAUGAAGUGAUAUGUGUAAAAUGCUAAGCACACGCCUAGCAUGCAGUGCUUGCUCAGCAAAAUGAGCGAGGUCUAAGUGUUGUUUCCAGGAAGGUCUGGACUAAUCAUGGAGAUAAGUUCAAGAAUCUGCUUAAUAAACUGAGAGCCCACUUGAUCCUGAUUCUACGUUUCUGGCACAGAGUCUGAGAGAAUAGCGACAAAUAUAACAGAACUCUCUUCCUGUUUGAAAGUCAGCUGUGCCAUCUCGAGUGCGUUACUUCAUGUCUCUGAGGUUUCAGAGUCUUCAGCUGUGAAAUAGGCUAACCCAGCAGUUACCCCCGGAAUUGUGGCAAAGAUGAAGUGCCACCAAGCAUGUAAAGGAGGCAUUAGACAGCGGGAGCAGGAAUGACCAUCGCUCUUGUUAAGAACAAGCGAAA